rnacentral:tRNA from 1 species
UCCCUGAUGGCUCAGUUGGUAAAGAAUCUGCCUGCAAUGCAGGAAAUCCAGGUUCGAUCCUUGGGUUGGGAA